rnacentral:lncRNA from 1 species
AGAUCACGAGGAUCAAUUGAAAUUUAUUAGUUUGAUAUUAGUCAAAGAUUUAAGUAUUACGACACGGGAUCAUGGCAGAAACUUGCCGGUAAGAUACGAUAUAGUGCGUGCCUGAUCGUAUCGAUGCGUGCCGAUCACAAAAAAUAUAUAUAUGCCGACACGUAAUGAUAUAAAAUAUUUUUUUAACAGUAAAAUAUGUUAAUUAUUUGUUAUGUAUUUUUAUCAAAUCUUUUGAACUGUAUUGAAAAAAUUAUUUACUAAUUUUAAGAAUAGAGGGUUUUGAGUUGUGCCAUCAACACAGAGACUGUAUCGUGCCGAUAUAUACCUUGCUUAUGCAAUAGGGCACGGU